rnacentral:lncRNA from 1 species
GGGCUGAGACUUGAUAAGACUUCAUAAGACUAUCUCUCAAGAGUUGAGACUUGAUAAGACUAUUUUCAUCAAACUUCAUAUUAAUUGAUUCCACCAUAGUGUGCGUUCUUUCGUUAAAAACUUUAUAGGCAUUGCUUCUGGUGGAGUAUCCAAAGAAUAUGCCUUCAUUAGACUUAGGAUCUAACUUGUGCAACUUAUCCUUUAUGUUGAG